UACGUAGGGACCAAGCGUUGUUCGGAUUUACUGGGCGUAAAGGGCGCGUAGGCGGCGUGUUAAGUCACUUGUGAAAUCUCUAAGCUUAACUUAGAACGGUCAAGUGAUACUGAUGUGCUAGAGUGCAGAAGAGGCAACCGGAAUUCUUGGUGUAGCGGUGAAAUGCGUAGAUAUCAAGAGGAACACCUGAGGUGAAGGCGGGUUGCUGGGCUGACACUGACGCUGAGGCGCGAAAGCUAGGGUAGCAAACGGG
rnacentral:rRNA from 1 species